CCGCAACCUCAUGGUUCCUAGUCAGAUUUGUUUCCGUUGUGCCAUGAUGGGAACUCCUCUUGUAUAUUCUUAAUUUAUUGCAUUCUUCAUCUCUGUUUGGUUACUCUUUAUAUUUUCUCUUUGUCAGUAACUGUUAACUUCUCCCUCUAUGCAUUCAUUCUUUGCCCAAGUUCUCUGAUCAUCUUUACAGUCACUGCCCUGAACUCUUUCUUGGUUAUUUGCCUGAAAACACUUCAGUUAGUUCUUUUGGGGUUUUAUCUUGUUCCUGCGUCUGGAAAUGUUCCUCUGUUGCUUCACUUUGCCAGAAUGCUGUUUGUAUUUUUAUGUAUUUGGUAGGUUGUGUUUCUUGACCUUAGAGACAUGGCCUUGUUUGGAGGUAACUUAUGUGUUCCAACAGUGCAUUCCCCUCUCAUCACCCAAGCUCUGUGCUCUAGGGCUUCCUCACUGUUCAUGCCAUAUGUGUCCUUCUGUUGUUGUGGGCUCUGCUGUCUGGUAGGGUUGACGGGACAAGGUCACCGGGUGGCUGACCAUAGAACCCCAGGGGCCCUGGGGCUAAUGCUGCCCACUGGUGGGUGGAGUUAGGGUCUAGAAGAUUCCAGGGCUGUGGCUCACUGUAUGGUGGGUGAAGCCAAGUCCUGGAGUUAAUGCUGGCAUACUAGUGAGCAUCAGGUCCUGGAGUCUGGUCACAAGGCCCAGGGGUCCCAGAACUGUUAUCACUGGUGGGGGUGGGAGGGCCGUGUUCCUGACAAGAUGCUUGUGGGGUCCAGGAUAUCCCAAAGGUCUGACCUGCUGACGGGCCAGGAGUAUCUCCAGGCUGCAAGAGUGUGGUUUUCUUGUGUCAGGCGUCUGUCCCUGAUGGGUAAGGCUGGUCCAAAGGCUAGAGAUGGCUCUGCGGAUGGCAGGGAAAGGGCAGGGCUGGGCCCUGGAGCCUUUGCCAGGACCAGUGUCCAUGUGGUAGAAGGAAAUCCUGAGAAUGGCUGCCACCAGUUUCGGGGUUCCCAGGCCGAGCUGCACCUGGCUCCUGCCUCUUUGGAAGACACUCCGAGAUCAACAUGUAGGUCUGACCCGGGCUCCUGGCACUGACUGCUUCUGCCCUGGGUCCUGGAGCAGGUAAGGGUGUGCAUGCCCUUUAUGAGUGAAGCCUGGCUGUCCCCCAGCCCUCUGGGAUGCCUGAAAGUAGAAGUCACUGGGGGCUACCUUCCCAGCAGGAGGCUGGGCUGGGGAGCCUGACGGGGGACACAGAGCUCUCAGUCCUUGGGGGGAACCUAUGUGAUAUAACUCUCCUGUUCAUAGGGCUUCCUUUUGGGGGUAUGCAGUUUGACUACAGCAUGAAUCCUGCCCUCCUGCCCAUCGCUUGGUUCCUCCUUUAUGUGGAAGAUCUUCUCUGUUCCCAGGCAGUCUGAGCAGCAGCUGUAACUUAACCACAGCCGCGGCGAUGCUGGAUCCUCAACCCACUGAGCUGGACCAGGGAAUGAACCAGGUCUUCCCCAGAGACAAGCUGGAGUAUUAACCCACGGCACCACAGUAAAAACUCCACAACAGCAUUUCUCUUCAUUAUUUGGAGUUUUGGCACCUGAGGCAAGAGCCCUGCUUGCACCCCUCGCCUUGCCCUCGUCUGGCCCUGUGAGUCGUAGGUCUGGUCUGGGGCCUUGCACUGCAUCUCUCAGGCACUCAGCUACUGUUCCACAGCCCAUAUGUGAGUAAGGGGGCUGGAGAAUCAUCCUGCCUGAGAUACGGACUGGGCAGUUCUAAUUUAGGGUUGAGAUAAACAUUUAAUUUGUCCCUACUCAUUAUUAUUUUUCUCCAAAAAUACCUAGUUAAAGGUAUAGUAAGAUACCACAUAAAGUGCCUUGAAAUUCUCCUCAGCAGAAGCUAUGUAAGCUUGCUCUAGUCACUGAAAUCAGUUAAAAACUUCAGCUUGAAAAGGAAAGUCCAUCAAUGCCACAGAUCUUGUGGGGUUUUUUUUUAUUGAAAGAUCUUUUCCCUUCAAUAAUGGACAUUUUACAUUAAAACUUUAUACAACCAAAAUCUCAAAAUAAUAUUAAAAUCACAGUAAGCUAUUUUCAUUAAGUCUCUACUUCAUUUUAUUGUUGAUAAAAAUAUUGCAAGACACUUGUAACUCUAAUGUUUCUGCUUUAAAAUAAGCAAUUAAAACUAAAUGUCACAAGAAGAGACAAUGAGUACAUACUACAAUUUGCUAAUAACUGGCUAAAAUAAUUUAAUAGUAAUUAAUGUAUAAGAAACAAUUGCACUUGAAAAAUUAAAAAAGUAAACAAAAAACCCUCUAGUUUUGUAUAUGUGUCUUAUGAACAGAGGUUAAUCAUCUACAACCUUACCAGGAGUAUGUAUAUUUAUUUAAAUUAGAAAAACAAAGCUUGUUAUUGAACAUAGAAAUCAUUCGUUUCAUUUUUAAAAGUCUUGAAUUUGUAUAUGCUUUACAGAAUUGCCCCCACAGUUUGCUAUCAGAAAAGACUGCAACACAACUAAAGCAAAAUAACACUUCAUUGGUAUUUAGUGCAAAUUUGGAGUAAUUUUUACAUGAAAUAUUAAAACAUGUAACUUUUAGAAGUUAUUGGAAUAAGUGCUAUGACUGUCCUUUCCUCAGUAUGGUCUUCUUUUAAAGAUUUUGAUGGAAAUUUGUAACUGAGGUAUUUCUCCUUUGUAUGGGCUCAGUGCCAUUACAGAGGUGACAUGUCUACCAUUCUGUUAGUGAUCUUUUUUCUUUGCCUGUUCUCUGUCAUUACUGUGAUAUAAUCCAAAGCUGACAGGAUGAAAGAAAGAGUCAAUGCAGAAGAACUAAUGGAGCACUCUAAUUCCAGGGCUCUGGAUGGAUGGAGUCCAAUUAAAAAGUGUGACCCUAGUGAGAAAAUCAUUGAAACUAACAAAUGUCUGCAUAUUUGAUUUAGAAAUGAAUAUCAGUGUGAAAAACAUGCAGUGGAAUAUUGCUUCUUACAGCCAUAAAAAAAAUUUCCAUUGAUUCUGAACAGUCUGAAGGUCCACUAUAUAUAUAUAUAUAUUAUAUGAAUUCCAACUUGCAGAAGUAAAACUAUCUACGUUACCACAUAUGCCAGCUGCUACCAAGACGCUGAGCCAUCACUUCUGGAAAGAAAAUGCCUUUUAGAUGGUCAAUAACUGUGCUCAUCCUUUAAGGUACAUUCUUUAAGGAGACUAGCAUAUAUCUUUUAAGUAAGCAUAAAGGAAAAUGAUACUAAUAAAAUGUGUUUUGUGGGAGAGGGAAAAGGGACAUAGUUCUUUUCCCUGCACUAAGCAAAGGAUUUGUACUUAGACUUUGAAGUCAGAAUUGAAAAAAAAAGGCAAUAUGCCAACACCAUGAAAUAUCAGUUAGUGUUAGCAAUGUGUGGGUUUGCUGAAUGUCUGUGAGUCAUGGAAAGCAAAUUCAGGGAAAUAAAAGUUAAUAUAAGUGGCUUUUAAAUUGCCAAGUCCCUUCUUUUUUAUGUGUGUGUAGUAACAAGGCCACUUAAAACUCAGAUGUUGGUAAAGGUAGCAAGAUGUACUCUCUGCGUUAUAAACGCUGUGGAACAUUUGACUCUAAACAUGAAUUACUUGAUCAUGGUAAAGAAACUUCCCAGAGGAAGUCCUUAGUGCAGAGGCUUCAAAUCGUGUCUUACUGUUGCCUUCUUUUCAAGACUUGAAGGAUUUCCAGAGAUGUGGUGUCCAUCACCUUUGUACCCUGGCUAUUGGCUGGUUUGGGGGAUUGUUCUAUUAUUUUUCCUGUCUCACUUUUGCCACUUUGGGUGAAAUGACCCUCCCCCUCAGAGUUUGAAAAACUAGAUUAAUACCAGUGUAUCCCAAACUUCUCAACCUUGAUGAAAUACCUGACAUUAUCUAUCUCGAUUUUACCAGCAUACACACAU